AUAGUACCUGUGAAGAUGCAGGUUACCCGCGACAGGACGGAAAGACCCCGUGGAGCUUUACUGUAGCCUGAUAUUGAAAUUUGGCACAGCUUGUACAGGAUAGGUAGGAGCCUUUGAAACGUGAGCGCUAGCUUACGUGGAGGCGCUGGUGGGAUACUACCCUGGCUGUGUUGACUUUCUAACCCGCACCAUUUGAUCAUGGUGGGAGACAGUGUCAGGCGGGCAGUUUGACUGGGGCGGUCGCCUCCUAAAGAGUAACGGAGGCGCUCAAAGGUUCCCUCAGAAUGGUUGGAAAUCAUUCGCAGAGUGUAAAGGCACAAGGGAGCUUGACUGCGAGACCUACAAGUCGAGCAGGGUCGAAAGACGGACUUAGUGAUCCGGUGGUUCCGCAUGGAAGGGCCAUCGCUCAACGGAUAAAAGCUACCCCGGGGAUAACAGGCUUAUCUCCCCCAAGAGUUCACAUCGACGGGGAGGUUUGGCACCUCGAUGUCGGCUCAUCGCAUCCUGGGGCUGUAGUCGGUCCCAAGGGUUGGGCUGUUCGCCCAUUAAAGCGGUACGCGAGCUGGGUUCAGAACGUCGUGAGACAGUUCGGUCCCUAUCCGUCGUGGGCGUAGGAAAUUUGAGAGGAGCUGUCCUUAGUACGAGAGGACCGGGAUGGACAUACCUCUGGUGUACCAGUUGUCGCGCCAGCGGCAUAGCUGGGUAGCUAUGUAUGGACGGGAUAAGUGCUGAAAGCAUCUAAGCAUGAAGCCCCCCUCAAGAUGAGAUUUCCCAACUUCGGUUAUAAGAUCCCUCAAAGAUGAUGAGGUUAAUAGGUUCGAGGUGGAAG
rnacentral:rRNA from 1 species